GAUGAACGCUGGCGGCGUGCCUAAUACAUGCAAGUCGAGCGAACAGAUGAGGAGCUUGCUCCUCUGACGUAGCGGCGGACGGGUGAGUAACACGUGGAUAACCUACCUAUAAGACUGGGAUAACUUCGGGAAACCGGAGCUAAUACCGGAUAAUAUAUUGAACCGCAUGGUUCAAUAGUGAAAGACGGUUUUGCUGUCACUUAUAGAUGGAUCCGCGCCGCAUUAGCUAGUUGGUAAGGUAACGGCUUACCAAGGCAACGAUGCGUAGCCGACCUGAGAGGGUGAUCGGCCACACUGGAACUGAGACACGGUCCAGACUCCUACGGGAGGCAGCAGUAGGGAAUCUUCCGCAAUGGGCGAAAGCUUGACGGAGCAACGCCGCGUGAGUGAUGAAGGUCUUCGGAUCGUAAAACUCUGUUAUUAGGGAAGAACAAAUGUGUAAGUAACUAUGCACGUCUUGACGGUACCUAAUCAGAAAGCCACGGCUAACUACGUG
rnacentral:rRNA from 1 species